rnacentral:rRNA from 1 species
UGGGGAAUAUUGGACAAUGGGCGAAAGCCUGAUCCAGCAACGCCGCGUGAGGGAUGACGGCCUUCGGGUUGUAAACCUCUUUCAGUACCGACGAAGCGCCAACAACGGUGGUGACGGUAGGUACAGAAGAAGGACCGGCCAACUACGUGCCAGCAGCCGCGGUAAUACGUAGGGUCCGAGCGUUGUCCGGAAUUAUUGGGCGUAAAGGGCUCGUAGGCGGUCUGUCGCGUCGGGAGUGAAAACUUACAGCUUAACUGUGAGCGUGCUUUCGAUACGGGCAGACUUGAGGCAUUCAGGGGAGAACGGAAUUCCUGGUGUAGCGGUGAAAUGCGCAGAUAUCAGGAGGAACACCGGUGGCGAAGGCGGUUCCCUGGGAAUGUCCUGACGCUGAGGAGCGAAAGUGUGGGGAGCGAACAGGAUUAGAUACCCUGGUAGUCCACACCGUAAACGUUGGG